UAGUUGGUGAGGUAACGGCCCACCAAGGCGACGAUCGGUAGCCGGACUGAGAGGUUGAACGGCCACAUUGGGACUGAGACACGGCCCAGACUCCUACGGGAGGCAGCAGUGGGGAAUAUUGCACAAUGGGGGAAACCCUGAUGCAGCGACGCCGCGUGGAGGAAGAAGGUCUUCGGAUUGUAAACUCCUGUUGUUGAGGAAGAUAAUGACGGUACUCAACAAGGAAGUGACGGCUAACUACGUGCCAGCAGCCGCGGUAAAACGUAGGUCACAAGCGUUGUCCGGAAUUACUGGGUGUAAAGGGAGCGCAGGCGGGAAGACAAGUUGGAAGUGAAAUCCAUGGGCUCAACCCAUGAACUGCUUUCAAAACUGUUUUUCUUGAGUAGUGCAGAGGUAGGCGGAAUUCCCGGUGUAGCGGUGGAAUGCGUAGAUAUCGGGAGGAACACCAGUGGCGAAGGCGGCCUACUGGGCACCAACUGACGCUGAGGCUCGAAAGUGUGGGUAGCAAACAGGAUUAGAUACCCUGGUAGUCCACACUGUAAACGAUGAAUACGAGGUGUUGGAGGAUUGACCCCUUCAGUGCCGCAG
rnacentral:rRNA from 1 species